rnacentral:misc_RNA from 1 species
GGAGCAUGCACGAGAUGGUGACCAGUGUAAAGGUCGGUGGCUAAAACGUGGUAUACAGGGUGGCUGAAACGUUGACCGGCAACGUAAAAAAUAAACCAACACGUGCCGGUGACAAGGGUAAAGUCCUUAUUUACCAUUUCCAAGGAAUAUAUAUUUCAAAGCGAAACUGUUUUAUAUCAAACACAGAGAAAGAGAAGCAGUAGAUCUCAAGCCUUUAGGUUGCCAGACAUCUUUUUGGGGUUAUCCAUGGAGAGAACAGUAUAGGAUAGAAAGUCGAAAUAAGAAAUGAGAGCAAAAGAGAAAUAGAAAUAGAAAGAAAGUUCUGUGUAUUGGGUUCUUUCUCUCUUAAAUCCCACUUCUUUGUCUCUUUGCUUCUCUUUUCGUUUGAUCCCAUGCUCUUAUUGCUGAAUCUGAUUCUGCGCUUUUGUCUUCUGUGGCAACCUCAGAUCGAUCAAAACAAAACUUUUUCUUUAUCUUCUCCACCUCUACGAAACAUAAGGAAAGGUGGAGAUAUAUAGAAACAGAUACAUAAAGAUUCAGCGGCAGCAAAAAAGAAAGGCAAAAAGGGAGUCUUUGCUUUGGUCACUCACUCAUAAUGGGUACAGGUUGGAGAAGAGCCUUUUGCACUACCAUUCCUAGAGACCCAGAUAUUACCUCAAUUUCAGACAAACAACAAACAAGUCCUAGUCGUAGCCCAAUCCCCAGAAGCUGUGCCAAGCUAGGGUUCCUCUCUGGUGGAACCAACCCCGCCACGCCUCGCCUACGGUCGCAGC